UACGGAGGGUGCUAGCGUUGUUCGGAAUCACUGGGCGUAAAGGGCGUGUAGGCGGUCUGUUAAGUCUGAUGUGAAAUCCCCUCGCUCAACGAGGGAACUGCGUCGGAUACUGGCAGACUCGAGUACCGGAGAGGAAGGUGGAAUUCCCGGUGUAGCGGUGAAAUGCGUAGAGAUCGGGAAGAACAUCAGUGGCGAAGGCGGCCUGCUGGGCUGUUGCUGACGCUGAGGCGCGACAGCGUGGGGAGCAAACAGG
rnacentral:rRNA from 1 species